rnacentral:sRNA from 12 species
AGUUGGCCUACUGCACAGGAACGGGUUUCCCACGCAGCGCCAAGGGGGAUGAGCCUCGCCAGCAGCGGCCAAGGCCGGAAAGGCGAAACACACAGCGUCGGGUAGAGUUUGGUAGGGUCCUUCGGAUCUCGAAGAAGUCAGGCCCA